rnacentral:rRNA from 1 species
CUUUUCUCGUUAGUUUUUGAAGUAUGGCCUGCCCACUGACUUUGGUGUUGAAGGGCCGCGGUAUUUUGACCGUGCAAAGGUAGCAUAGUCAUUAGUUCUUUAAUUGUGAUCUGGUAUGAAUGGCUUGACGAGGCAUGGGCUGUCUUAAUUUUGAAUUGUUUAUUGAAUUUGGUCUUUGGGUUAAAAUUCUUAGAUGUUUUUAUGGGACGAGAAGACCCUAUAGAGUUUAACAUUUGUUAUGGUCCCCUUUCUGUUUGUGAGGGUUCAUUGGGCCGUUAAAUAUGUUUUGUUGGGGUGAUGGGAGGGAUUAAUUUAACCCCUCCUUUUUGUUAUUAUAUUUAUUUAUAUUUACUUGAUCC